rnacentral:lncRNA from 1 species
UGACAACCCGAGAAUUUGGACAAUUUAGUAAAAUCUUAAAUGAUUGAUUUAAGGUCAAAUAAUAGACCUAGAUAGAAAAUAAGUGUAUGCGUUUGAUGUUAUUAGGAUGGAAUUUUGAGGAUUUCAAAAUUCUGUGAAGGAUUUAGGUGAAUUAUUCAGGAUUAAGGAUUUAUGUGAAUAUGUGUUGUGUUUAUGGUUAUGUACGUGUUCAGAAUGUGGUUAAGGGUCAAGGGUUGACCAGAUA